AUUGAACGCUGGCGGCAUGCCUUACACAUGCAAGUCGAACGGUAACAGGUCUUCGGAUGCUGACGAGUGGCGAACGGGUGAGUAAUGCAUCGGAACGUGCCCAGUUGUGGGGGAUAACUGCUCGAAAGAGCAGCUAAUACCGCAUACGACCUGAGGGUGAAAGCGGGGGAUCGCAAGACCUCGCGCAAUUGGAGCGGCCGAUGUCAGAUUAGGUAGUUGGUGGGGUAAAGGCCUACCAAGCCGACGAUCUGUAGUUGGUCUGAGAGGACGACCAGCCAAACUGGGACUGAGACACGGCCCAGACUCCUACGGGAGGCAGCAGUGGGGAAUUUUGGACAAUGGGCGCAAGCCUGAUCCAGCAAUGCCGCGUGCAGGAAGAAGGCCUUCGGGUUGUAAACUGCUUUCGUCAGGGAAGAAAUCCUCUGGGUUAAUACCCCGGGGGGAUGACGGUACCUGAAGAAUAAGCACCGGCUAACUACGUGCCAGCCGCCGCGGUAAAAC
rnacentral:rRNA from 1 species